rnacentral:rRNA from 1 species
UACGGGGGGGGCAAGCGUUGUUCGGAAUUACUGGGCGUAAAGGGCUCGUAGGCGGCCAACUAAGUCAGACGUGAAAUCCCUCGGCUUAACCGGGGAACUGCGUCUGAUACUGGAUGGCUUGAGUUUGGGAGAGGGAUGCGGAAUUCCAGGUGUAGCGGUGAAAUGCGUAGAUAUGCGGAGGAACACCGAUGGCGAAGGCAAUCCCCUGGACCUGUACUGACGCUCAUGCACGAAAGCGUGGGGAGCAAACAGG